CAAAAUGUUUGAAUUCAGUGUGUAGCAUAAUACUGUCUCUCCAUACAUGCUGUAUGUAAAUACAGUAUUAUUGGUUGGUUGUUUUUGCAACUGG
rnacentral:sRNA from 1 species